rnacentral:sRNA from 1 species
UUGAUUUCAGUGGGCUCUGGAACAAGUCUUUUAUUUGCUGAACUGCUACAGCAUGAGGGGCAGCAGGGCAUAUCCUGCCAAUAAGCCUCAGUCCUGACCUGGAGAGACGCCUUCUAAAGGUGAAAGGGGAGUUCAGUCUAUAUCACUAUUUAUCCCUUAGCUUCC